rnacentral:rRNA from 1 species
UGGGGAAUAUUGCACAAUGGGCGAAAGCCUGAUGCAGCGACGCCGCGUGAGGGAUGACGGCCUUCGGGUUGUAAACCUCUUUCAGCAGGGAAGAAGCGAAAGUGACGGUACCUGCAGAAGAAGCGCCGGCUAACUACGUGCCAGCAGCCGCGGUAAUACGUAGGGCGCAAGCGUUGUCCGGAAUUAUUGGGCGUAAAGAGCUCGUAGGCGGUCUGUCGCGUCGGAUGUGAAAGCCCGGGGCUUAACCCCGGGUCUGCAUUCGAUACGGGCAGACUAGAGUGUGGUAGGGGAGAUCGGAAUUCCUGGUGUAGCGGUGAAAUGCGCAGAUAUCAGGAGGAACACCGGUGGCGAAGGCGGAUCUCUGGGCCAUUACUGACGCUGAGGAGCGAAAGCGUGGGGAGCGAACA